UGUGCAUACGCGAACGGUCGUGAAAACUCGGCUUCCUUUUAUAUACAUUUUUAUUUUAGUUAUUACUAAAAAAUUCUACAAUUUCUACAAAUUGUAAAGAAAAUAGUGCAAACCAACUAAAACAUUUUUAAAUUAAUUGUGCAAUGUCAAUAAUAUUUUGCCUCAAUUUAAUGCAAAACAUAAACUGUUAAACGCAGAAAUUUUGUUGUAGUGCAAGUUUGCCUCAAUGUCACUAGAGAACAGCAAAACAACAAAUUGCUUAAUUAAAUACGGCGAACAAUUAAAUGUUUAUCAUUAGAACCAUAGUGAUCGCUUAUAAA